UACGUAGGGGGCAAGCGUUGUCCGGAAUCAUUGGGCGUAAAGCGCGUGUAGGCGGCUCGGUAAGUCUGCUGUGAAAGUCCAGGGCUCAACCCUGGAAUGCCGGUGGAAACUGUCGGGCUAGAGUCCGGAAGAGGCGAGUGGAAUUCCUGGUGUAGCGGUGAAAUGCGCAGAUAUCAGGAGGAACACCAAUGGCGAAAGCACUCUGCUGGGCCGACACUGACACUGAGAGACGAAAGCUAGGGGAGCGAAUGGG
rnacentral:rRNA from 1 species